GCCUGGACGGGGAGCCUCGGGAGGAGCCGCGAGCGGCCGGAGCCGAGCCGGGCGAGCCGCGGUGCAUUAGCAGGGAGCUGAAUUGGAAGUGGAGCAGCCGGGAUUCGAACUGGCGCCAGUGUCUCAGGAGGUGGCUUAACCCACUGUACUGCGAUGCUGGCCCCUCACUCAGGAGACUUUUGUUCCACCCCUCUAAUGUGCCAGUAUUGGAGUGUCCUGCAUUAGCAGGAAGUUGACGAGAAGCAGAAGAGCAGGUCCCGAACCAGGUGCUUCGAUAUUGUGUACACUCCAACGGCUUUACCUCCUGUGCCACAGCACCAGCUGAUGAAGGCUCAAGUGUCUGGGCCCCUGCCACCCACAUGGGAGACGUGGGUGGAGUUCCUGGCUGCUGGCUUCUGCCUAACCCCAGCGCUGGCUGUUGUGGCUACUUGGAGAGGGACCAGUGGAUGGACGAUCGCUCUGUCUUGUUCUGUUGCGGAGCUUUUCAACUAGA